GCAUCAUUGGCUCAGGGGCAGAGCGUCUAUCUAGUAAACAGAAGGUCGCUGGUUCGAUUCGAGCAUGGGGCA
rfam:Dictyocaulus viviparus strain HannoverDv2000 D_viviparus-1.0_Cont1865.1, whole genome shotgun sequence.